rnacentral:rRNA from 1 species
CCUACGGGUGGCAGCAGUGGGGAAUAUUGGACAAUGGGGGGAACCCUGAUCCAGCGACGCCGCGUGAGUGAAGAAGUACUUCGGUAUGUAAAGCUCUAUCAGCAGGGAAGAAAAUGACGGUACCUGACUAAGAAGCCCCGGCUAACUACGUGCCAGCAGCCGCGGUAAUACGUAGGGGGCAAGCGUUAUCCGGAUUUACUGGGCGUAACGGGAGCGUAGGCGGUGGAUGAAGUCUGAGGUGAAAGGUCGGGGCCCAACCCCAGGACGCAUUUGAAACUGGUGAACUGGAGUACAGGAGAGGUAAGCGGAAUUCCUAGUGUAGCGGUGAAAUGCGUAGAUAUUAGGAGGAACACCAGUGGCGAAGGCGGCUUACUGGACUGGAACUGACGUUGAGGCUCGAAAGCGUGGGGAGCAAACAGGAUUAGAUACCCGUGUAGUC